GAGUGCAGGGGCAGCGCCGGGCUGCCUGCGUGGUUAGCACCACAGUCACUCAGCGGAGGAGACCAGCGCCAGUAGGAAAGGAGCUGCCAAUAUAGUUAAGGCAUCAACCCCCUGAGUAAAACCUCUCCCUCCCAGCUCCUCUUCCCUGCUGGGAAAGGCGAGGAAGAAGCUUCCUUCUUGGGCUUUGGGGACUGGGGAGGAGGUUCCAUCCCACUUCAUCCCUGAAGUAUGUUCUUCCCCUGGGUGUCUGUUCUUACACUGCUUCGGAUUCUGGGGGCUAAUGGAGAGUCAGUGACACAGCCUGAGGACAGACUGACAGUAUCCCAAGGGGAACCAGCGCUGCUGAAAUGCAGCUAUGACACUUCCUAUAUUCCCACGCUGUGGUGGUACGAGCAGUACCCAGAUGAAGCCCCUCGCCUCUUGCUGACAGAAUACAAAGCAUCGGAUGAGGAGGAGAGCAGGAGCCGGCGAGGGUUCUUCGCCACAGCCGACAAACAGGGGAAGACUUUCCACCUGAAGAAAAACUCAAGUGAACUUCGCGACUCUGCCGUCUACUACUGCGCCAUGAGCGUCACAGUGAUCGCACCCAGCAGGGCCGCUGCACAAAAACCCGCUGGGGGAAGAGGAGGCGGCACUGAAGAUGUUUGGGUUCCAGCCGGAGAAGGACAGACUUUGCACAGCGCCAUUGGAGUCAGUGAAUCCCAUCCCUUGGCAUCCUCCUGUUAAUUGGUGUAUCUCCUUAGACUGACCUCACACUUGGUAGAGCAACCCCCCUCCUUUCAUGUAUUUAUACCUGUUCCUCUAUUUCCCCUCCAUGCGUCUGAUGAAGUGGGUUCUAACCCACGAAAAUUUAUGCCCAAAUAAACUUGUUAGUCUCUAAGGUGCCACAAGGACUCCUUGUUGUUUUUGCUGAUACAGACUAACACGGCUACCACUCUGUAACCCUUCCCCAGGGUGUAAAUGUGCAUAGCUUCCCUGGAGUGAAUGGGCCAGAUCCCAAACUCUUGGGACUGGGUGGAG